UGCUGCUGCUGCUGCUGCUGCUGCUGCUGCUGCUGCUGCUGCUGCAUUUCUCACCUGUUCCUGGAUUCUGUGUCAUUGACUCUGGGCAACUUCUGGCAACCUUACCUCCAAUCCCCAAGGGCAGGAGUGCAGAGUUGAAGAAAUUUUGGAAUUUCAGAAAGGCUUUGGAACUUUGAAAGACUAUAAAAAAUUUCAAUUCAGAAUGCACUUUAUUCUGCGGCACAAAUAUUGGAAUGAUACCAUCUUGGGGAUAAGCCUUCAAGAAACAUAUCUAGGCUUAUGGGGUUUUUUUUUUAAUUUUUUUGAGAAAUUCAUACAAUAUUUUCUUACUAUUUCAUCUUCCACAAUUCAUCGCAGGUAUCUGAAGAACAUUAUUCUAGAAAGAGGAACUGAACUUCUCUGGCCUUGGCAUCAUGCGAACUGAGUUGGCCUACAAGAGAAUCCCAGACUCAAGGUGCUACAGAGUUCCUGAAAAAUAUAUUGAGAUGCGCGUUCUUGGAGGCUGGCCAGAUUCAACUGUGGCAGAUCCCUACUGCUCUCAUUCUGGAUUCCUAGAGACACACUGUGUUGCUGAGUUGGUCUCUCACUCAGGUCCUUCUGACUCCACCUCCUGAGUUGCAGAUUAUAGAGGCAAGCUCUACUCUGCCCAAUGACAUGGCUGCCUUUAGGCUUUGUAAAUUCAUUCAGGCCUUUGACCAGUGAAUCAAUGAAAAAAAAUAUGACCUUGUGAACAGCAGGAGUUCCUAUUUAGCAGAAAGCCUAGCAUUCUCAGACUCUAUGACAACAAUGACCAAAGGUUCUAUUUCCCAAUAAUAAAA